CUCGCUCUCCUCUCUUCUGCCUCCCCAAAAAAGAGAAUUCACUGUUCAAUUCUGAGACCCUCUCAAACUCUUCCCUAAUUUGGUCGCUAAAAUUGGUUUGGGCAAGAGCUAAUUUGGUUCCUAAAUUAGGUGAGAGUUUUAAGAGAGAGAGAGAGAUCGAGAUUGAUUGUCUUAGGGAUAAGGUUUGGAUUCAUAUUCUGUUAUUGGAUUUGAACGCUUUUGAUUUACGCGAGGGUCUUAUCUUCUGCGAAUUUGAUAAGGAAACGGUGAGCUCUUCUGGAUCCAGUGACGCCAAUAUGUUCGAUCCGGUUCUCCAGAAAGAGUUCCCCGAGAAUGAUCAGUCGCAAUUCAUUACGUCUCAGAUUCACACUUUCUUUUGUUGGUUUCGAUUCAUGGAGUGUACCUGUAUAUUUAAAUACAUGGAUAUUAUUAAAGCUCAUCACAACAGGGGAAGCAUUUCCUAUAUUCUCGAGUGAAUUUCAUCCUAAAGGGUUACAGUGGUUUUUACUUAAUAUAGCCUUUCCUGGUUGCUGAACUGCGGCAUCGUUUUUUCCAUUUUAUUUCUCGAGGAGGCUUGCUGGUGAUAGACGGGGGUGUUAUCCCUGCCUCCAGAUUUCAAUUAGUGCACAGCAGAUUUGGAAAGUAAUCAAAGAGAAACAAAGACCUGGAUCGUCCUGCUCACAAGGAUUGUUAGUUUCCUUUCCAGUUUUGUUUCCUAUCGGAAUAUAGUUCACGGUUUUGACUUCUCAUACGCAUGCAAUAUGUACAUGCAUUAUCUAUAAUUUAGUCAGGUUAUGUUGCUACUUUUCGGUGUGAAGAGAUUGCUAAUGGUUUUGACGUCUAAUGAAGUAUGUAUCCAUUUCUCUCCAUUGAGAGAUGCUUCUAUUUUUUAUGGUAUGAUUGUGAAAUUUUAUUGGCAAAACUUGAAUGAGCAUGAUGUAGGAUUAGUUGGCAUUGGAAGAAGCUAUGCAAAGUGGUCUGGUACCAAAUUUUGGCAAACAGCUCAGCUUCACCCUAGACACUUAAUUUUUUGACACAGAUAUGGCAUGGAGGCCAUCUACUUUGAUGCAGGUGUAAGGAACUCAAGACCACACCAAUUGUAAAUAAGAGCAUUGGAUGUAUGGCUACUCUCUCUAUGUCUCUAAUAUAACAGAUAUUGGUGAAGCUUUUCCAGUUUGAAACAGCUCCUGGAAAUCAGUUAUGUUUUUUGUUUCAUUGCCAUGCGUAUUGUAGUUUAAAUGUUGCUUUCGUAUGAACUUUCCAAUUUGUGUUCCCUGCAUAUACUACCAUGCUCAGGCAUCUACAUUCUAAAUUUAAUGCGUUGGAAAAUUUUAAAGUGAGACUGGAGCGGUCAUUAAACAAAGGAGAAAUAUUUGAGUUUGACUGUGGAUUUGCAGGUAGUGUUUGUAUAAUUGAAAUCAGGAGAUUUUGUUGCUUAUAGUUGAAUGAAUAAAUGGCUGAGAUUUUAUUGCUGGUGAUCAUCACAUAUUUGGGCAACACAUUGUUUUUGUUGUUUUUUAACAUACAUUUGAACCACCUUGAUGAUUCUCCCCUUCCUUACAUUAUACACAUGACAUGCACUGUUGAUUCCUUAUAUUAUUUGGAAGAGUCAGUUCUAGCUGUAUGACUACUAUGGUUUGAUUCCUGCUGGAUACACUUGAAACUUUUAGUUCAGUUACUACUCAUGGAACUUGAACAUACAGCUCCCUUGUUAUGGGCAUUGAAUUUUCCUUGAAUGAUUAGCCUUUAGUUUAGGUUUUGUUAGAGAGCUCUUCAUAACCUGAACUUUGUUUAAGUUUCUAAUAUGGUUAUCUCAAGAACUUUUUUUUUUCUCUCUAUUUAUCUGCAAACUUAUCAUUACUUGCUACAUAUUCAACUGGUAUCUAUUCUUAUUCCCUUCUACUGCUUCUUACUUUGUCUUAGCUAAUUAGGUGACCCUUUGUGAGGACGUGCAAGCAGUAACUUAAAAAGGAUGUGGAGUGAAAACCAACAACUGCUGUGAAUAAGGAACCAGCCAUAGACGCGGAGUUGGAACCAGCUAAGGUGGUGAAAUGGGAACCAGCAAAAGAUAUGGAGUUGAAACCUGCUAAGAAUGUGGAGUUGAAACCAUUAGAGGAUAGUUAUACAACGUGAGUGCAAUUAUACUACCCGCAGCAAAGCGCGGGAUCUCCAACUAGUAGAACCUAGUACAACGUGACAGCCAUCUGCAUUUUAUAGAGUUUUGCAGUCUGUUAGAAAAAAUCAAUUAUAAAAAUCAUGACAUGGCAAUCAGGCAACGUAGUCUGUUUUGCAGUUUCUGCUCUGGUUGUCUGCCUUUUAUGUCAUUAUAAGAAAUUUUUUGUUA